CCCACCUACAAAGGCGUGUCUGUGAUUCCCAGUCUUUGGGCACGUAAGAACUGGAGGCAAAGAAAUGUGGACUUGGAAAAGUCUGGGGCAGCUUGCUUCCUGCAGGCUCAAGAUUAACUAUUCCACAUUU